GCCGAGAAAAUAAAAGAAAAGAAAAAGAAAAACAAAAAAACCGGGCAGCGAAGCAAGGAAGGUGGAGCAGGAAAAAACUGGGCCGAAAAUCUCAUUUUGUCUCUCCCAAAAACCUCUCCGAAGAAUCGGAGAUAAAAAAGGAGAGACUGAAAGAGUGAAAGAAGAAGAAGAAAAGAGCUCAAUUAGUUCAUAGAUCUCGCCGAGGAUAACCGGCGAAAGUUAAGUCGGUACAGCUCAUUGCUGUCUGCAUUUGCAUUUGCUGCUUGAAGUGAAUUGUUUUUUUGCGGCUUUGAUUUGAUCUGAGCACGGAGCUGAUCGAUACGCCGCCGCAGGAGAAUCUGAUCUGCUUUCGGUUUUACGAGAAAUGGCUGCUUUAGUCAGCUUAGGUGUUGGGUCUCUUGUUUGGGUGGAGGAUCCUGAUGUAGCCUGGAUCGAUGGGGAAGUUUUGGAGGUCAAGGGUGAAGAUGUUAAGGUUCUUUGUACAUCUGGGAAAACGGUUGUUGUUAAGUCCUCCAAAAUCUAUCAUAAAGAUGCUGAAGCUCCAUCAUGUGGUGUCGAUGAUAUGACAAAGCUGGCUUAUCUGCAUGAACCUGGUGUUCUUCAAAAUUUAAAAACCAGAUAUGAUAUUAAUGAAAUAUAUACGUAUACAGGGAAUAUAUUGAUUGCUGUCAAUCCUUUUAGAAGAUUACCUCAUCUUUAUGACACUCAUAUGAUGGCACAAUAUAAAGGUGCUGCAUUUGGGGAGCUGAGUCCUCAUCCCUUUGCCGUUGCAGAUGCUGCGUAUAGACUUAUGAUCAAUGAAGGAAUAAGUCAGUCAAUAUUGGUCAGUGGUGAGAGUGGUGCUGGUAAAACAGAAAGCACAAAACAAUUAAUGCGUUAUCUUGCUUAUAUGGGAGGGAGAGCUGCAACUGAUGGGAGGACAGUUGAACAGAAAGUCCUGGAGUCUAAUCCUGUUCUGGAAGCAUUUGGUAAUGCGAAGACUGUCAGAAAUAAUAACUCAAGUCGGUUUGGUAAGUUUGUGGAGAUUCAGUUUGAUCAGAAAGGAAGGAUUUCAGGAGCUGCUAUCAGAACAUAUUUGCUGGAAAGAUCUCGGGUUUGCCAAUUAUCUGAUCCUGAGAGAAACUAUCACUGUUUCUAUUUGCUCUGUGCUGCACCUGCAGAGGAACUUCAAAGGUACAAACUGGGACAUCCAAGGACAUUCCAUUAUCUGAAUCAAUCAAAUUGCUAUCAGUUAGAUGGGGUUGAUGAUUCCAAAGAAUACUUAGAGACUAGAAGGGCAAUGGAUAUUGUUGGAAUAAGUUCUGAAGAGCAGGAUGCAAUAUUUCGAGUUGUGGCUGCAGUCCUCCAUCUCGGGAACAUAGAAUUUGCAAAGGGAAAGGAGAUUGACUCAUCUGUUCCUAAAGAUGAAAAGUCUAUGUUUCAUCUAAGAACUGCAGCUGAGCUGUUCAUGUGUGAUGUGAAGGCAUUAGAAGAUUCCCUAUGUAAACGUGUUAUUGUAACUCGUGAUGAGACUAUCACCAAGUGCCUGGACCCUGAAGGGGCCACUGUCAGUAGAGAUGCUUUGGCCAAAACUGUAUAUUCAAGAUUGUUUGAUUGGCUUGUAGAUAAGAUUAAUAAUUCGAUUGGUCAAGACCCAACUUCAAAAUCCUUGAUUGGGGUGCUGGAUAUCUAUGGAUUUGAGAGUUUCAAGACUAACAGCUUUGAACAGUUUUGUAUAAACUUGACAAAUGAGAAGCUUCAGCAGCAUUUCAAUCAGCACGUUUUCAAAAUGGAACAAGAAGAAUAUACAAAAGAAGAAAUUAACUGGAGCUAUAUUGAGUUCAUUGACAAUCAAGAUGUUCUAGAUUUGAUUGAGAAGAAACCAGGUGGUAUUAUAGCACUUCUUGAUGAAGCUUGCAUGUUUCCCAGAUCAACUCAUGAAACAUUUGCUCAAAAGCUUUACCAAACUUUCAAAAAUCAUAAGCGUUUCAGCAAACCCAAAUUAUCUCGUUCUGACUUCACUGUUUGCCACUAUGCUGGUGAUGUCACUUAUCAAACGGAACUGUUCCUGGAUAAAAAUAAAGAUUAUGUCAUUGCUGAACAUCAAGCACUUCUGAGUGCUUCCAAGUGCCACUUUGUUUCAGGUUUGUUUACACAAUCAACUGAGGAGUCCUCAAAACAAUCGAAGUUCUCCUCUAUCGGCACCAGGUUUAAACAACAAUUGCAAUCUUUGCUGGAAACUCUGAAUGCAACUGAGCCUCACUAUAUUCGCUGUGUAAAGCCUAAUAAUUUGCUUAAGCCGUCUAUUUUUGAGAAUCAAAAUGUUCUGCAACAACUUCGCUGUGGGGGAGUGAUGGAAGCAAUUAGAAUUAGUUGUGCUGGAUAUCCCACUCGCAAACCUUUCUAUGAAUUUUUAGAUCGCUUUGGCCUCCUUGCGCCUGAAGUUUUGGUUCGAAGCGCGGAUGAAGUCACUGCAUGCCAGAUGCUUCUGAACAAAGUGCAACUCGAAGGCUAUCAGAUUGGCAAAACGAAGGUCUUUCUGAGAGCUGGUCAGAUGGCAGAGCUGGAUGCUCGCAGAAACGAGGUGUUAGGAAGAUCUGCAAGCAUAAUCCAGAGAAAAGUUCGUUCUUAUAUGGGUCAUAAGAGUUUUACAUUGUUGCGUCGAUCAGCAAUACAAUUGCAAUCUGUGUGUAGAGGAGAGCUUGCUCGACAAGUAUAUGAGAGCUUGAGGAGAGAAACAUCCUGUCUUAGGAUCCAGAGAAAUCUGCGAAUGCAUCUUUCUAGGAAGGCUUACAAAGAGGUUUACUCUGCUUCUGUUUCGAUUCAGACAGGCAUGCGUGGGAUGGCUGCACGUAAUGAGCUUCUUUUCAGAAGGCAAACAAAGGCAGCAAUUAUCAUUCAGAGCCAUUGUCGCAAAUUCCUAGCCCACUUGGAUUACAAGAAGCUGAAGAAAGCUGCAAUUGUCACGCAAUGUGCUUGGAGGGGAAAAGUUGCUCGCAAAGAACUACGAAAGCUUAAGAUGGCUGCACGGGAGACAGGUGCUCUCCAAGCUGCAAAGAAUAAAUUAGAGAAGCAAGUUGAAGAAUUGACUUGGAGACUACAGCUGGAGAAACGUAUGCGGGCUGACUUGGAAGAAGCAAAAACACAAGAAAAUGCAAAACUACAAUCUGCUUUGCAAGAUCUGCAAGUUCAGUUCAAGGAAACUAAUGAAUUGCUUGUGCAAGAGCGUGAAUCUGCAAAGAUGGCAGCAGAGAAACUCCCAAUUAUACAGGAAGUCCCCGUGAUUGAUCAUGAGUUGAUGAAUAAGCUUACUGCUGAGAAUGAAAGGCUCAAGACUAUGGUUAGCUCUCUAGAAAAGAAGAUUGAUGAAACAGAGAAAAAGUUUGAAGAAACAAACAAACUAAGUGAGGAAAGGUUGAGGCAAGUGAUGGAGGCAGAGUCGAAGAUUGUUAAUUUGAAGAGUGCCAUGCAAAGGCUGGAAGAAAAAGUUUUUGACAUGGAAUCAGAAAACCAAAUUCUUCGAAAGCAGGCCCUGUUGACACCUGCAAAUCAGAUCACAGAACCUUCGACUUUGUCCAAGAUACUGGAAAAUGGGCACCAUCUGAAUGAUGAAAGCAGAACAGGCGAACUGCCAAGUGUCUCACCUGCUAAAAUCUUUGAAACACCUGAUAACAAGCCGAGGAAACCUCCAACUGAUCGACAACAUGAGGAUGUGGAUGCACUCAUGAACUGUGUAAUGAAGGAUAUUGGUUUUAGUCAGGGAAAACCUGUUGCGGCUUUUACCAUUUACAAAUGCCUUCUCCACUGGAAAUCUUUCGAAGCUGAAAGGACAAGUGUGUUUGACCGUCUCAUUAAUAUGAUUGGUUCAGCCAUUGAGAACCAAGAGGAUAAUGAGCACAUGGCAUAUUGGCUGUCAAACACUUCUACAUUGCUGUUUUUAAUCCAGAAAAGUUUGAAACCUGCUGGUGCAACUCCUUCCCGUAAACAGCAAGCUCCAACAUCCCUGUUUGGAAGGAUGACAAUGGGGUUUCGCACAUCACCAUCUUCUGUCAGCAUCGAAGCAGCAGCUGCUGCACUCGUAGUUCGCCAAGUUGAAGCCAAGUACCCUGCUCUACUUUUCAAGCAGCAACUUACAGCAUAUGUUGAGAAAAUCUACGGAAUUAUUCGAGACAACUUGAAAAAGGAGCUGGGAUCACUGCUAUCUUUGUGUAUACAGGCACCCAGGGCCUCAAAAGGAAGUGUGCUAAGAUCUGGACGGUCGUUUGGCAAAGAUUCUCAGACGAAUCACUGGCUUGUUAUCAUUGAUCGUCUCAACUCUCUUCUCUGCACAUUGAAAGAAAAUUUUGUGCCUCCCAUUCUUGUUCAGAAGAUAUACACGCAAACAUUCUCGUACAUCAAUGUGCAGCUCUUUAACAGUCUUCUUCUACGUCGUGAAUGUUGUACAUUCAGCAACGGGGAAUACAUUAAAGCUGGAUUGGCUGAGCUAGAGCUAUGGUGUGUCCAGGCUAAAGAAGAGUAUGCAGGUUCUGCCUGGGAUGAACUAAAACAUAUAAGACAAUCUGUCGGCUUCUUGGUUAUACAUCAGAAGUACAGAAUAUCUUAUGAUGAAAUCACCAACGAUUUGUGUCCUAUUCUGAGUGUCCAACAACUAUACAGAAUAUGCACCUUAUAUUGGGAUGACAAAUACAAUACUCGAAGUGUAUCUAAUGAUGUCAUUUCGAGCAUGAGGGUGUUAAUGACCGAGGAUCUAAAUGAUGCUGAGAGCAGCUCUUUUCUCUUGGACGACAAUUCAAGCAUCCCCUUCUCCAUUGAUGAGCUCUCCGAUACACUUGAAGUGAAAGACUUUGCAGAGGUGAAGCCUGCAGAAGAACUUCUCGAGAAUCCAGGCUUCCAAUUUUUACAGGACUAAGUCUGAGGACACCUCGAGGUCUCUUAAAAUUUUCUUCCCCUGCACAAUAUUGCAUUGUAUAUCCAUUCAUUUUUUUUUUUUUUUUUUGAUUCGUUUUAUUUUCUGAUUCUUUUCAUAUAGAUUGGUGUAUAAAUUUUGCAUUUUGUAAUUUGUAAAAUCCAUAUCAUAAGGGGCUUGGGCAUAUUCAUUCAAUCAGGACAUUCUUUCUGGGGAGAUAUAUAGGCUGUCUGCUGUAGAUAUUGGGGAGAUAUCAAGAAUUCACAUUCUGGAUGAAGAAGUGAUAUCUAGAAUGAAUAUGAAGUUAUAACGAAAUGGACAUGAAUGCUAAAUGAAAUGUACAUGACUUGGGUAAAAAAAUUUGAUGUUAUGUGAUGCAAAGUGUAAAGUGCAUCCAAAAAUUGACUCGAUUUCAAAA